CACCGCCCGUCGCUACUACCGAUUGAAUGGCUUAGUGAGCCUUUGGGAUCGGCAGCUUGGACCGUCACCGGUCACAGGCCGCUGAAAACUUAUGCAAACUUGGUCAUUUAGAGGAAGUAAAAGUCGUAACAAGGUUUCUGUAGGUGAACCUGCAGAAG
rnacentral:ncRNA from 1 species